GAGAAAGGCAGUGAAUUUGAAUGAAAAAUACAUUGAACCAGUUGGAAGUCAGAAGGUCUGAGUUCUCCGUGGGCACUGCCACUGCCUCACUCAUGGUCCUUCGUCAUCCCAUUCCCUCCGCGGAUGGGCAUCUACUCAGCUUUAUAAUGAAAUGGCGGAUGAAGAGAUCACCCUACUCCAUCAGCAGGACGUGCAUCGUCAUGUCAGAUGUCCUGGCUUAAGCUGCUGAAGCCACCUUAGACCCUGAGUGACCUGGAGAAUGGAAGCCAUUGUCUAGAUGUUGGAACAAAGAAAUGGCCUGGGUCUCCCUGAUGACACCAGAGUCACCGUAUGUGUCCUGGAGUACCUGCUCUCUGCUUCUUUUUCAUGAGAGAUAAGCACAUUUUUCUCUUCUUUAGGCCACUGCUAUUAUUUUUUUUCCUGUUAAACACAGCUAUAUCCAGUCCUAACUGGUUAAACCUAUAAAAUGUAAUUAUUUCUUGUUUUAAAAUAACUAUAGCUACCAAUUAUUUUGCACUUAGUAGCUGCCAGACACUGUACUAAGUGUUUUAUGGGUGUCAUCUUAUCUAAUUUGCACAAUAAGAAUACUUACGAGGUAGGUAUUAUUAUCUAUAAUUUGCAAAUGAGAAAAUGGAGGCUUAGAAAGCUUACAUAGUAUCCACAGGGUCAGACUGAAAAAAGCAGGGUUCUAAACCAGGUUGGGAUGACCCCAAAACUUGUUCUAAUCUUAAUCACUGUUAUCAGUGUAAUGCAGUUAUUAUCCUCUGUGGAUAGAGGAUGCUAUUCCUGAUUCACUCAUGGCUAUAUGAAAUACACAAGGAGCACAGUGUUGGCUAAUAUUUCUGGAGAAUCUUACCGAAUUGUCAGGAUGUAGACAACCUUAUGUCCAAUCUGCUCCCUGAACAAGAUUGGCAACACAGACCCAGCCUUCUGUAACACAGAUGAUAACUAUCCCCAGACCUUACCUAGGUUGUCAAACAUUCACCUUUAUAACAUAUUUGCAAAUAGAAAUAACACUAAUUGCAAAAAUGAUGGUGGGGAUUAAAUAGGAGGAUAUACGUAAAAUGCGUAGAAGAAAACCAGGUACACAGUAAAUGCUUAAUAAAUGGUACCGGACAGCACUAUUGUUUAAGGGAUUCAUCGUGAGAUUGUGAAAAUUUUCAGGAGUCAGAAAUAUUAGGUUCAACCACAACCUCUGCAACUUGCUAGUUAUGUGAACAUUGUUCAGUCAUUGAACUUUUUGGCUUCUAAUUUUCUAAGCCAUACAUUAUUUAUGUAACAGAAUUGUAACUGGAGAUAAAGCCUUUUCAGUCCCUAUCCCAGCGCCUGAUGCAUUUUAGAAUCCCAGCCAAUGAAAUUCUUGUCACUAUUGUUCUCACAGAACUCUAAUGAACAUAUUACCAAGAGUGAUUUUCUCCUUGGCCCAUUAACCACACGGAAGGGAGUAUUCCCCGUGGGGUGUCUCUGUAGCCGAGGGCCCCGGCGUGUGGUUUCAUCAGAGGCAGACAGCUGCGUGAAUCACUGUGGUGGGCAGUGUGCUGGGCCGCCCUGCAGGUCCUGCCAGAGUGCUGUGGAAUUCAAGUUUGUCUUCUCCAGUUUUAGUCUCUGCACGUGCAUUGGUCUCCUUUCUGCCCCUACAGUCUGGCCAAGGCCAUUCCAGCCUCAGGAGGGCAAGAGGAGGCCUGCUGGAUGCAUCCUGAAAACACAGGCCAUCACUGUGGGCGAGAUUUACCAGGACAGAUGCCAUUCUGCAAAGUGGGUACUUCCCAUGAGAAUCCAUCCACGUUUUUCUUAUUCUUUCUCUUGGCAGACUUUCACUCUUUUCACAGCCUUGUUUCAUAGAAAUCAAAUAAUAAAACAGCACAGAAUGAAAACAAGGGUCUUCUUACACGAAUACCAUUUAUUUAAUUCUAGCACUCAUGAUUUAUUCCUAUCAGAAAGUCAUCUUAAAUUUUUAGGGGCUCACAACGUUCAAAGCCUCACACAAAGUCCUAAACUAGUAGAGACAUCUCUGCAUCUCCCACUACUUUCUUCUCCAAGUCAAGUUUCACCUUAGGUUAGAAUAGUCAUAUAUACGAGUUGAUGGGUGCAGCAAACCACCAUGGCACAUGUAUAGCUACGUAACAAAUCUGCACAUUUUGCACAUGUAUCCCAGAACUUAAAGUAAAAUAAAAAUAAAAAAA
ensembl:lncRNA